rnacentral:rRNA from 1 species
ACGUAGGGUGCAAGCGUUAAUCGGAAUUACUGGGCGUAAAGCGCGCGUAGGCGGUUAGUUAAGUCGGAUGUGAAAGCCCUGGGCUCAACCUGGGAACUGCAUUCGAUACUGGCCAACUAGAGUGCGAGAGAGGGAGGUAGAAUUCCACGUGUAGCGGUGAAAUGCGUAGAUAUGUGGAGGAAUACCGGUGGCGAAGGCGGCCUCCUGGCUCGACACUGACGCUGAGGUGCGAAAGCGUGGGGAGCAAACAGG